rnacentral:rRNA from 1 species
UACGGGGGGGGCAAGGCGUUGUUCGGAAUUACUGGGCGUAAAGGGUUCGUAGGUGGCUUGCUAAGUCAGACGUGAAAUCCCUCAGCUUAACUGGGGAACUGCGUCUGAUACUGGCGAGCUUGAGUGCAGGAGAGGAACGCGGAAUUCCAGGUGUAGCGGUGAAAUGCGUAGAUAUCUGGAGGACACCGGUGGCGAAGGCGGCGUUCUGGACUGCAACUGACACUGAUGAACGAAAGCCAGGGGAGCAAACGGG